rnacentral:rRNA from 1 species
AUUGAACGCUGGCGGCAUGCCUUACACAUGCAAGUCGAACGGUAACAGGCCGCAAGGUGCUGACGAGUGGCGAACGGGUGAGUAAUGCAUCGGAACGUGCCCAGUCGUGGGGGAUAACGCAGCGAAAGCUGCGCUAAUACCGCAUACGAUCUAUGGAUGAAAGCGGGGGCCCGUGAGGCCUCGCGCGAUUGGAGGCGCGCAUGUCAGAUUAGGUAGUUGGUGAGGUAAAGGCUCACCAAGCCAACGAUCUGUAGCUGGUCUGAGAGGACGACCAGCCACACUGGGACUGAGACACGGCCCAGACUCCUACGGGAGGCAGCAGUGGGGAAUUUUGGACAAUGGGCGCAAGCCUGAUCCAGCAAUGCCGCGUGCAGGAAGAAGGCCUUCGGGUUGUAAACUGCUUUUGUACGGAGCGAAACGGCUCUCACUAAUACUGGGGGCUAAUGACGGUACCGUAAGAAUAAGCACCGGCUAACUACGUGCCAGCCGCCGCAGUAAUAC